UCCUUAUUUUUUCUCAUUUUUUCUUACUUUGGAGGACCAGCAGAGCGAGGGCCGCUAACCUGUGGACAUUCAUGGAAGGUGACGUUGUGUCUGGAAGGCGGGUCCACAUAAGAACUCAGAUAUAAUAUUUAUAUUUUUGUUCUAACCUGUUGAGUCCCUGGCAGCAGCCAAUGGCAAGGUUGUGCCAGCCAGCAGGAUGCUGCGGAGCUGCUGAAGGGCGGGGCUGGAGUCUGAAAGGCGGCCUGUUGGACUACGAAUGCCAGUGCGGAGCUAAGAAGAUCAAAGAGGAGCUGUUGUUCUUGAACCUGCCAAAUGUGCUGAUCCUCCAGCUGAAGUGGUUUACGUUCACUCCAUCGUUCACCGUGGAGAAGAAGAACAGCCCCAUU